CACGUAGGGCGCAAGCGUUGUCCGGAAUUAUUGGGCGUAAAGAGCUCGUAGGCGGUCUGUUACGUCUGCUGUGAAAACCCGGGGCUUAACCCUGGGCUUGCAGUGGAUACGGGCAGACUAGAGGCAGGUAGGGGAGAAUGGAAUUCCUGGUGUAGCGGUGAAAUGCGCAGAUAUCAGGAGGAACACCGGUGGCGAAGGCGGGUCUCUGGGCCACUACUGACGCUGAGAAGCGAAAGCAUGGGGAGCGAACAGG
rnacentral:rRNA from 1 species